GUGGGCUCGUGGUCAGAAAAAUAUAACAUUUUCCAAGAACGACAUCUCCAAGUUUUAGGAUUUUGACUGCUGGAGUCAACAUGUACUUAUGCAUAGCUAAACUAAUCAAAAGAGGAAAAGUAAAAUAAGUACGUUGGGGAGGCAAAACAGGGGAAAACAAAUUGACCAAAAAUAUGAGGCUAAGAUGAUAAAACUGGAGACAAGAGUACAUUGAUUUGAGGAAACUGGAAAAUAUUUUUAGGCAUCUGAAAUGUUCAUAUACGUGUUUUGUUAAGAAAAACAACUGUACCAGAGCUACUUGUUAUAUUUUUAACCGACAUUUUAUAACUUGACAUUCUUAUUUUAAAAAUUGUCAUGUGCUUAUAAAUAUGAAACGACAAGAUUUUUGCUGAAUGUAUCAAGACUGAGUGAUAUGCUGUUUACUGGGAAAACGUAAUUUUACUUCCAGUGAUGAAUGUAUGAAAAAUCAAUUUUUCCCUUCUUUCACUAGCAACGACAUAUACAUCGUCUGCAUAUAGUUAAUUAACAUUUUACCUAUAUAUAAUAUUUGAUAAAUAAUGGAGUACUUA